UACGGGGGGGGCAAGCGUUGUUCGGAAUUACUGGGCGUAAAGGGCGUGUAGGCGGGACAGUAAGUCGGGCGUGAAAUCCCUGGGCUCAACCCAGGAACUGCACUCGAAACUACUAUUCUUGAGUGUCGGAGAGGAAAGCGGAAUUCCUGGUGUAGAGGUGAAAUUCGUAGAUAUCAGGAGGAACACCAGUGGCGAAGGCGGCUUUCUGGACGAUAACUGACGCUGAGACGCGAAAGCGUGGGGAGCAAACAGG
rnacentral:rRNA from 1 species